rnacentral:tRNA from 1 species
CUCGCUGUAGCUCAGUUGGAAGAGCACCGUGCUACGAACGCGGUGGCCAGGGGUUCGAGUCCCUUCAGCGAGGCCA